rnacentral:rRNA from 1 species
GUAGGUGGCAAGCGUUGUCCGGAAUUAUUGGGCGUAAAGCGCGCGCAGGCGGGGUCCUUUAAGUCUGAUGUGAAAGCCCACGGGCUCAACCGUGGAGGGUCAUUGGAAACUGGGGGACUUGAGUACAGAAGAGGAAAGCGGAAUUUCAAGUGUAGCGGUGAAAUGCGUAGAGAUUUGGAGGAACACCAGUGGCGAAGGCGGCUUUCUGGUCUGUAACUGACGCUGAGGCGCGAAAGCGUGGGGAGCAAACAGGAUUAGAUACCCUGGUAGUCCACGCCGUAAACGAUGAGUGCUAAGUGUUAGGGGGUUUCCGCCCCUUAGUGCUGCAGCUAACGCAUUAAGCACUCCGCCUGGGGAGUACGGCCGCAAAGGCUG